rnacentral:rRNA from 1 species
AUUGAACGCUGGCGGCAGGCCUAACACAUGCAAGUCGAACGAGUGGCGGACGGGUGAGUAAUGUCUGGGAAACUGCCUGAUGGAGGGGGAUAACUACUGGAAACGGUAGCUAAUACCGCAUACCAUCAGAUGUGCCCAGAUGGGAUUAGCUAGUAGGUGGGGUAAUGGCUCACCUAGGCGACGAUCCCUAGCUGGUCUGAGAGGAUGACCAGGCACACUGGAACUGGGACAAGGGCCAUACUCCUACGGGAGGCAGCAGUGGGGAAGAUUGGACAAUGGGCGCAAGCCUUAUGCAGCCAGGCCGCGUGUGUGAAGGAGGCCCUCGGGUUGUAAAGCACGUUCAGCGAGGAGGCGUUACUCGCAGAAGAAGCACCGGCUAACUCCGUGCCAGCCGCCGCGGUAAUUC